rnacentral:rRNA from 1 species
GCAAGUUGAAUGCUAGUUUACUAGCAUGGCAAACGGGAGAGUAACACAUUGGCAAUCUACCCCUAAGACGAGGAUAACCUUGCGAAAGCGAGAAUAAUACUCGAUAGUAUUAAAGAACAUAAGUUCUUUAAUUAAAGCUCCGGCGCUUAGGGAGGAGCCUAUGGCCUAUCAGCUUGUUGGUGAGAUAAUAGCUCACCAAGGCUACGACGGGUAUGGGGUGCGAGAGCAUGACC